rnacentral:rRNA from 1 species
AGUGAACGCUGGCGGUAGGCCUAACACAUGCAAGUCGAACGGCAGCACAGUAAGAGCUUGCUCUUACGGGUGGCGAGUGGCGGACGGGUGAGGAAUACAUCGGACUCUACUUUUUCGUGGGGGAUAACGUAGGGAAACUUACGCUAAUACCGCAUACGACCUACGGGUGAAAGCAGGGGAUCUUCGGACCUUGCGCGAUUGAAUGAGCCGAUGUCGGAUUAGCUAGUUGGCGGGGUAAAGGCCCACCAAGGCGACGAUCCGUAGCUGGUCUGAGAGGAUGAUCAGCCACACUGGGACGGAGACACGGUCCAGACUCCUGAGGGAGGCAGCAGUGGGGAAUAUUGGACGAUGGGGGCAAACCGGAUCCAGCCAUACCGCGUGAGUGAAGAAGGCCUUGGGGUUGUAGAGCCCUUUUGUUGGGAAAGAAAAGCAGCAGGUUAAUACCCCGCUGUUCUGACGGUACCCAAAGAAUAAGCACCGGCUAACUACGUG